rnacentral:rRNA from 1 species
GACGAACGCUGGCGGCGUGCCUAAUACAUGCAAGUCGAACGCAGUGGGGACGGGUGAGUAACACGUGGGUAACCUCCCAUCAGAGGGGAUAACAAUUGGCAACAGGUGCUAAACCGAUACUGAUGGAUGAACCCGCGGGGCAUUAGCGAGUUGGUGGGGUAAAGGCUCACCAAGGCCACGAUGCGUAGCCGGCCUGUGAGGGGGACCGGCCACACUGGGACUGAGACACGGCCCAGACUCCUACGGGAGGCAGCAGUAGGGAAUCUUGGGCAAUGGGCGAAAGUCUGACCGAGCAAUGCCGCGUGAGUGAAGAAGGUUUUCGGGUCGUAAAGCUCUGUUGUUAGGGAAGCGGUAUCUAACCAGAAAGCCACGGCUAACUACGUGCCAGCAGCCGCGGUAAUAC